UGAUGGUAAUGAGGACAACUUUUGAGCAUGCCCUUAAAUCUCUCUAAAGCUUGGUAGAGAUUUUCUCCAUCUUUCUGUCUGAAACUCAAUAUCUUACUCCUUAAUCG
rfam:Capsicum annuum cultivar Zunla-1 chromosome 3, whole genome shotgun sequence